AGUAACAUAAUGCAUGUGUGGGACGGCAUACAUUCUCUUUGCAAUAAAGCACCUAGCAGGCCUGGUUCUCCAUUGCCUUGCUCCCUGCAUUAGUCAUCUACAUCCAUCCCAAGUGAAUGUGAAAUGCUACUUGAAGAGACUGGUCGCAUUUGACACGCACUUUGCACAGGCGCAAAUGGUGAGGCAAGGCAGCAGCAAAUUGGACCUUUUCUAUGCAAUUUGCAAUUGAUCUGUGUGCCAGAGAGUAUGUAUCUGUUUCACUUCAGCUGACUGUAAUGAGGCGGUGUGGCUUCCUUCCGCCCCGGAGGCCAGAGUGGGCAGAGCUAGGGAGCUCAGAGCCCGCCCCUCAGAGGGUCAGGCGGCGACCCGGAAGUAUAAAGGCUCACCCUCAGAGCUCAGUAAGGCCCGAGCCGCCGGAGAGGCCAGACGCCUCCAGUCUAGCUCGUGACUGGGAAAACUCCACGGCCCAAGGCAGCCGCCAGGACUGGCCGGGCCUGCCCUGCGCUCGCUACCUAGAGGAGUUGCCGGACCUGCCCUGCGCUCGCUACCCGGAGGAGUUGCUGAGCCUGCCGCUCGCCCACUACCCAGAGGAACCUAUGGUGCUGGACCCCCAGAGGACAACACCCUGACCCAGGCAGCUGUACACAUAUUAACAUACUGCUGGCCCCUGUGAUGUAUUCUGAAUAUGAAAUGAAGUGCAAAGCAAGCGAACACUGAAAAGGGUCUGGGAGCCAACUUUCCCAGUGGCACACGGUGAUUUCUCAGGUAGCCAGGACCUCAGCCAUGUGGUGGUUUAGAGAUAUGCGCUGACACCUUGAAUUGCCUCCAGGAGCCUGCAAGAUCUACUCUACUCUACAGAGAACAGCUAUCAGGUCCCUUCAGCUAGCAGCGACACAAACGGGCAGCUGCAUUCUGCACUAGCUCCAGGGUUCGGAUGGUUUUCAGAGAGCCCAUUGCUAUGUUGCUGUCUGGCGGCUGCCAACAGUCAUGGCAAGGCCCACACACGCAGAAGAGAUGGUCACAAGUAAGACCGUGGUGUGCUGGCAGGAAUGAGAGGAGGCCAGUUUAACGUCAGGGGUGUUUAGGUUAAGCUGACUCCUGCCUUCUCCGGGGUGGAGGGUAUUUAAAUAUGGUGGUGGGCAGGGGGCUAGGGAGGCAAUGGGGCCAUGUUUUCAGGUGCCUCAGAUUCAGAGGCACUGAAAAUCGGGCUCCUUUAAGGUGUCUCCAGUACAGCAGCCAGAAUCACUGGGCAUUUGAAAAUUGAGGCCAAGGUCAGGCUAGAGGAGAAAUGCUGUCCAGAGUGGCAUCUAUUCCACGGGCCUGGCAGCUGCCAUGGGGCGCUGUGCCAGCUGGACCCAAUUCUGACCCACUUUUGUUGUGUGUGCAUGUGUCUAUUCCUCUUUUCUUUCCCCUCAGCUUGUCAAACUCAGGCCCAGCAAAGCAACAAAUCCAUCUUUUCAGAGAUCAAUUACUGUGUCUGGCUGCAAAGCCUGGAAAUCCAAUUAACUCUAAAAUAAAUAUAAGAAAAUGAAAAAUAUACUGAGGGGAGGGCAUAAAUCACCUCAAAAAUGUUCCAAACAUUAAAAUAAACAAGGAGGAAUUUCAACUUCA